AUGGUAUUGGUGGUGUGGUUGUGCUUGUACUCUACUUCCACGCAAAGGAUUACUGCUCCCAUGAACACCUCUGCUUUCUCCAGCCUAGGCAUCAGCCAGCCUCCUCAGGACCCUGGCCACAGGUGCACCUUUCCUAUCGCCUCCUAUCUAUGGAAACUUAGUAGUUACUGCACUCAAUUUGAGACGGAGCUGGGUUCUUCUGGGUCCAUCUCAGGUAAAUGAUCUGCACUAUGGCAUCUUGGAAACAUUCUUUGGUCAAAAGGAAACACUUCAGUGCUGUCAGUAGCAUAUAGCUCUCACCAGGACUGUGUCAGUAGCAUAUAGCUCUCACCAAAUUAAUGGAGAUUCCUCUCCAAGUUGAUCUUCUAUGGGUGGAGGAGCCCUUGAGCUCAACCUUCAUUGGAAAUGAGAAUAAGAAAUCAAUUAUUCCUUCAUUCAUUUGGAUGUCAUAAAAAGGACACAGACCAUGAGUUCAGGAAAACUUGGGUCUGAAGUUUCUCCCACAAGGUCCUGUUAUGGUUGCUAUUGCAUAACUUUUUCUGAGUUUCAUUUUCCAGCUUUAAAUUGGGAAUGGUACCUCCUAUACAGGAUGCUUCGUUGUGAAGGUUAAAUGGGAUAACGUUGGCCAGCUGCUUAGAAAUGGACCUGAACAGACUUGUGUUGCCAAGGGGGAGGGAGAAGGGAGCGGGAUGG
ensembl:lncRNA